UGAGGUAUGAAAUGAUAAUCCACCAAGCAAAGCUGUAGUUUCUAGUGUAGUUCUCUACUCUCUGAGAUCGUAGUCCCACUUUCACUUUCUCCUAUCCCUAUUCUACUUUCACAAGGCUUUCUCUAUCACCAUUGUCAUGCUCUUCAAAUAGUUCCUUUACUUUCGCAAAGACAUCUCUGCAAAUUCUUUGAGUUUUGAAAUCUCUCACGACCUGAAGAAACCUUUCAUAUAUGUCUCUUUGGUCAGAAAACUAAAGGUUUCAUCUCAGCAGAGAAAUUGAAGCUUCAGAUGUGUUCACUUGAGGUUGUCAUUAGCUGGGAUGAGCGAGAGUAAGAUAGGAGAAAGAAGUUGUGCAUUUUUUGUAUUUUGAACAAUGACAAAGAUGUAUGAAUCAUUGAAUAACAAUAUUGUGAAAGAGUAUACAAGCUUCUCAUUUGUAUUUUUGCA